rnacentral:rRNA from 1 species
GACGAACGCUGGCGGCGUGCUUAACACAUGCAAGUCGAACGAAGUGGCGAACGGGUGAGUAAUACGUGGGUAACCUGCCCUCCUUUUUGGGAUAAGCCUUGGAAACGGGGUCUAAUACCGAAUAAAGGGGGAUGGGCUCGCGGCCUAUCAGCUUGUUGGUGGGGUGAUGGCCUACCAAGGCGGUGACGGGUAGCAGGCUGGAGAGGGUGACCGGCCACGUUGGAAGUGAGAGACGGCCCAGGCACCUACGGGAGGGAACAGUGGGAGAUAUGGCGCAAUGGUGGAAAACCUAAUGCGGCGACGCCACGAAGGGGAUGAGGGCGUUCGGGUUGUAAACCUCUGUCGCAAGCGAACGGGUAGGUGGAGAAGAAGCGCCGGCUAACUACGUGCCAGCAGCCGCGGUAAUAC